rnacentral:rRNA from 1 species
UACGUAGGUGGCAAGCGUUGUCCGGAAUUAUUGGGCGUAAAGGAUGCGUAGGUGGUUCUUUAAGUGGGAUGUGAAAUCCCUGGGCUUAACCCAGGAAUUGCAUUCCAAACUGGAGGACUAGAGUGCAGGAGAGGAAAGUGGAAUUCCCAGUGUAGCGGUGAAAUGCGUAGAGAUUGGGAGGAACACCAGUGGCGAAGGCGGCUUUCUGGACUGUAACUGACACUGAGGCAUGAAAGCGUGGGGAGCAAAC